CAUUUUUUUUAAUCUUUAUUUAAUGAUUUUCAUUUUUUUCCUUUAUAACUGGUUUACAGUGUUCUGUCAAUUUUCUACUGCACAGCAAGGUGACCCAGUCAUACAUACACACAAACAUUCCUUCUUCUCACAUCAUCAUGCCCCAUAACAAGUGACUAGAUAUAGUUCCCAGUACUGUACAGCAGGAUCUCAUUGCUUAUCCGUUCCAAAGGCAAUACAGCCUGCCUCUAUAAAUCCCAAAUUCCCAGUCCAUCCUACUCCCUCCUCUCUCCCUUGGUAACCACAAGUCUAUUCUCCAAGUCCACGAUUUUCUUUUCUGUGGAAAGGUUCAUUUGUGCCGUAUAUUAGAUUCCAGAUAUAAGCGAUAUUAUAUGGUAUUUGUCUUUCUCUUUCUGACUUAUUUCACUUAGCAUGAGAGUCUCUUGGUCCAUCCGUGUCGCUGCAAAUGACAUUACUUGUUUUUUUUAUGGCUGAGUAGUAUUCCAUUGUGUAUAUAUAACACAUCUUCUUAAUCCAAUCAUCUGUCAAUGGACAUUUAGGUUGUUUCCGUGUCUCAGCUAUUGCGGUUUCUGGGUAUUAAAACUUUUCUCAAGCAACUUUUAAAGUGAAAAACAUUAUGGGUGUGCUUUCACAGGUACAAAUACAGAGGCAAAGAAAGCAUAUACCACAAAACAUUAAGAGUAGGACUGAAGAAUGCUGAUGGCAUUUUCUAAAUUUUCUACGCUUACCCAUACUCUUUGUAGGAUUAAGGAAAGAAAAAAAUAAAUUUAAGAAUGACAUGGAAGGAGUUCCCGUCAUGGCACAACAGAAACGAAUCCAUCUAGUAUCCAUGAGAAUGCAUGUUUGAUCCCUGGCUUUGCUCAUGGGUUAAGUAACUGGCACUGCCGUAAGCUGUGAUGUAAGUAGCAGAUGUGGCCUGGGUCCUACGUUGCUGUGGCAUAGGCUAGGGGCUGCUGCCCCAAUUAGACCCCUAGCCUGGGAACUUCCAUUCAUCACACGCAUGGCCAAAAAAAAAAAAAGUGUGCCUAUGCCAAACCUUACUUGUAUAGAUUUUACAUAUUUAUUCUGAAAAUCAAAGUGUUCACAGAUGUCCCAUUACUAAAACUUAAAAGAUUUUUGUAGAGUUCUCAUCGUGGCACCGUGGUUAACGAAUCCAACGAGGAGCCAUGAGGUUGUGGGUUCAAUCCCUGGCCUUGCUCAGUGGGUUAAGAAUCUGGCGUUGCCACGAGUUGUGGUGUAGUCACAGACACGGUUCAGAUCCCGAGUUGCUGUGGCUGUGGUGUAGGCCAGCGGCUACAGCUCCAAUUAGAUCCCUAGCCUGAGAACCUCCAUAUGCCUCGAGUGCAGCCCUAGAAAAGACGGAAAAAAAAAAAAAAGACUUUUGCUUGACCAGCCAUUAGGCCAUGCCUGUUCCUCAAACAGAAGACAGAAAAGUCAAGCUCAUUUAUGUGUCCAACUUGUAAUGACCAACUGCUCCAGUAUUCUAGGCGCUCAACUCAGCCCUGGGAACUUGUAAACAGCAGUCACUUCAAAACAUCAACAGGUUUACACAGUCGUCUUGC
rnacentral:lncRNA from 1 species